AACGAACGCUGGCGGCGUGGAUUAGGCAUGCAAGUCGAGCGAGAAAGGGGUAGCAAUACCCCGAGUAAAGCGGCGAACGGGUGAGUAACAGGUGCGUAGAUAACCUGCCCUUCAGUUUGGGAUAACUUUCUGAAAAGAAGGCUAAUACCGAAUAAAACUAAGAGACUAGUGUUUUUUAGUUAAAAGAUUUAUCGCUGGGGGAUGGGUCUGCGUACCAUUAGCUAGUUGGUAGGGUAAAGGCCUAGCAAGGCUACGAUGGUUAGCGGGUCUGAGAGGAUGAUCCGCCACACUGGAACUGAGACACGGUCCAGACUCCUACGGGAGGCAGCAGUGGGGAAUUUUGCGCAAUGGGCGAAAGCCUGACGCAGCAAUACCGCGUGAGUGAAGAAGGCCCUUGGGUCGUAAAGCUCUUUUAUAAGGGAAGAUAAUGAGGGUACCAAUGGAAGAUAAUGACGGUACCUUAGGAAUAAGCACCGGCUAACUCCGAGCCAGCAGCUGCGGUAAUACGGAGAGUGCAAGCGUUGAUCGGAUUUACUGGGCGUAAAGGGUGCGUAGGCGGCAUAGCAAGUUAAGGGUGAAAUCCCGGGGCUCAACUCCGGAACUGCUCUUAAAACUGCUAAGGCUAGAGUAGGGUAGAGGCAAGCGGAAUUGGUAGUGUAGCGGUGGAAUGUGUAGAUAUUACCAAGAACAUCGGUGGCGAAGGCGGCUUGCUGGGCCCUCACUGACGCUGAGGCUCGAAAGCGUGGGGAGCGAACGGGAUUAGAUACCCCGGUAGUCCACGCUGUAAACGUUGUGCACUAGGUGUGGGGGGUAUCGACCCCUCCUGUGCCGCCGCUAACGCAUUAAGUGCACCGCCUGGGGAGUACGAUCGCAAGUGUGAAACUCAAAGGAAUUGACGGGGGCCCGCACAAGCGGUGGAGCAUGUGGUUUAAUUCGAGGCAACGCGAAGAACCUUACCCAGACUUGAACAGGUGGGUAAACCCCUGGAAACAGGGGCUGGUAGCAAUACCGACCCAGUAGAGGUGCUGCAUGGCUGUCGUCAGCUCGUGUCGUGAGAUGUUGGGUUAAGUCCCGCAACGAGCGCAACCCUUGUCGUUAGUUGCCAGCGCGUCAUGGCGGGAACUCUAAGGAGACUGCCGGUGUUAAGCCGGAGGAAGGUGGGGAUGACGUCAAGUCCUCAUGGCCUUUAUAUCCAGGGCUACACACGUGCUACAAUGGUGACUACAAAGAGUUGCCAAGCCGCGAGGUGGAGCCAAUCCCUCAAACCCGGUCCCAGUUCAGAUUGCAGUCUGCAAUUCGACUGCAUGAAGUUGGAAUCGCUAGUAAUCGCGGAUCAGCACGCCGCGGUGAAUGCGUUCCCGGGCCUUGUACACACCGCCCGUCACACCACGAAAGUCGGUUGUUCCAGAAGUCGCUGCCGGAACCGCAAGGACCAAGGCGCCGAAGGAAUGGCUGGCAAUUGGGGUG
rnacentral:rRNA from 1 species